CACCAAGGUAAAACACCACCAGAAUAUCCACCCUCAUUCUGUUAAACACUUGGGAGAAUGUAGGUACGUUGCUAUGGUGUUAUUAUUGAUUGUAUCUUGACCACCUUCUACACAUUGCAUACUUUUUAAGUGUUUGGAUGUUCUCUUCCUCAUAUAAGCUCUGCACCAGUCUGAGGGGAUUAUCCAACUAAAGUCAAAGAAUGUGCUGUGAAUAUGUCAAUACAUUAAACUCAACUACAAAACACUGAUGAUUAAUCUUUACUGCCAAUUUCACUAGAUUUAAAAUUACCAUGGAAACAUACUUUUGGGCUACCUUCUCCUUAAAAGUGUAACUAAAAUGGAAGACACUCCUUGAAUGUGAGCAGCAUCAUCCCAUGGGCUGGGCUUGUAGACUGAAUCAAAAGGAGAAAGAAUGUUGACCACCAGCAUUCAUCACUCUCUGCCUCCUGCUGUGUGUGGAAUGUGACCAGUUGCUAACAUUCUUGUCCCCAUGACUUCCCCAUCAUAAUCAACUAAUCAGCCCCACUGUGAGACUAAGUAAAAUUUUCCUUCCUUAAGUUGCUUUUGCCAUGUGUU